rnacentral:rRNA from 1 species
UACGUAGGGUGCGAGCGUUGUCCGGAAUUAUUGGGAGUAAAGAGCUCGUAGGCGGCCUGUCGCGUCGGUUGUGAAAGCCCGGGGCUUAACCCCGGGUCUGCAGUCGAUACGGGCAGGCUAGAGUUCGGUAGGGGAGAUCGGAAUUCCUGGUGUAGCGGUGAAAUGCGCAGAUAUCAGGAGGAACACCGGUGGCGAAGGCGGAUCUCUGGGCCGAUACUGACGCUGAGGAGCGAAAGCGUGGGGAGCGAACAGG